GCACAGCAACGGGUGGAGCGUGCGGUUUAAUUGGAUUCAACGCCGGAAAUCUCACCGGAGGCGACGGUUAUAUGAAGGCCAGGCUGAUGACUUUGCCUGAUUUUCCGAGAGGUGGUGCAUGGCCGCCGUCAGUUCGUACCGUAAGGCGUUCUGUUAAGUCAGACAACGAACGAGACCCUCAUCUUUGGUUGCUACUGGUAAGUCCGCUUAUCAGGCACACUAAAGAAACCGCUGGCGAUAAGUCAGAGGAAGGUGAGGGCAACGGUAGGUCAGUAUGCCCUGAAUCCUCCGGGCUACACGCGCGCUACAAAGGCUAGGACAAUGGGUUUCAACACCGAAAGGUGACGGUAAUCUCGAAACCUGGUCAUAGUUCGGAUUGAGGAUUGAAACUCAUCCUCAUGAAGCUGGAAUCCGUAGAAUC
rnacentral:rRNA from 1 species